rnacentral:tRNA from 1 species
AAGGGUAUAGCUCAGUUGUAGAGUGCUCGCCUCACGUGCACAAGACCCUGGGUUCAAUCCCCAGCACCCUGG